rnacentral:siRNA from 1 species
AUGGACUGGUGUUGGACGAGUUC